rnacentral:lncRNA from 1 species
GUAUCCCUUCUUCAUCAAAUAAGAGAACUAUUUUGGGGCUUUCGAGUGAUAAAGCACCAUCCUCAAACCUGUUUUUCUUCAAGAUUUUAGAGAUUUCAUAAAGGUUCUUCACAGAUGUAACAACAUCAGACCAUUAAAAGGCCAUGUAACGCUGGCCAAGAACGUUCUCCUUUAUAAGAACUUGGAUCAUCAAGCAAUCCAUCAAUAAUAUCCUGAGCAUGCUCAUAAGAGAGCUUGCAACAAGAUUGAAUUAUAGUGCGGCCAAUCCAGCGCUGACUAACUUCCCCAGUAAGACUGAUGUCCCAAAAAAUAGAAAACGCAAGUUUGUCCACCCCAGGAUUAAGCGAACCCAAAUUCUCAGAGAGCAACGGUGGCAACAUGGGCAAUUUACUUUGCAACAAAUACACACUCGUUGACCUCGCUCGGGCAUUUUCAUUUAAAGCCGAGCCUGGUAGAACAAAGUAUGAGACAUCAGCAAUAUGGACCCCAACUCUAAAAUUACCAUCAGACAACCUUUCCUGUUGGCCGUUUAGAUGGAAAUGAAUUCACAGUGACGGACAAUCUCUCGGUCGCAUGCAAAGCAUCAUUCAUUUCACUAGAGCACCCAACUAUGGAAGAUUUCGACGCAGUCAAAUUAUGCCCAUUGACACAAACAUUCUCAACUGGUGCUUUUUCUUCUGGAUUUGACACCUCUCCAAAGGAUUGCCCACUUCUAUUACAUACUGCAUUUUCUGAGGGGCUAGAGCAAUUACCGCAACUACUGGACUCAAAAUCUGCAUCUACCUUGUUCUUCCCUUUGCAAUUCUCUCUAACAAAUUCUGAAUUGUCAGACUCCAACAUACCAUCAUCUACCAAAGCGGAAUUCUCAACACCAGCUGUAUAUCUUUUCAUUUUAGUCCAAAGAGAAGGAGGAUCAACUUCAAUAGCAACAAUGUCUCCUUCAACCUGCAAGAAAGUGUAGAAAAGAAAAUGUUAUCCUGCAGAAUGGCACACAAUGUAACUAAUAAACAAACUGACACCUAAGAAAUUAAGCAAGAAAUAAAAGAUACACCACACUUACGGCUCUGUUUUGAACUGCAGGUCCGCUAAUAAGAACAUCCGCUCGCACACCAUCAAUUUUGCAAUAGGCCUAAGAAGCAGGGGUUAUAUGAUUAUGAAUCUCAUGAACGCACCAGAAGAACUACAAAUUUGAUGCAUAACCAAAAAUGGAGCAGCAAAGAGACCAUGGAAAAUGUUACUAGAGAUUACCUCAAGUCUAUUGUGGGCGUUGACACGAAACAAUGCUCUAAAGAUAUGACCCCUCUGCAGAACAAUAGAAACGUAUCAUCAAACUCUCAUUCAACGACAGAUUCUUUAAUUACUUCAUUUACCAAUAUACAAGUAUUAAAGCAAAUUACGAGGCUGACCUCUAGUGCUUUAUGAACAUCUUCUCUAUUUUGGGGCUUUCGAGUGAUAAAGCACCAUCCUCAAACCUGUUUUUUCUUCAAGAUUUUAGAGAUUUCAUAAAGGUUCUUCACAGAUGUAACAACAUCAGACCAUUUAAAAAGGCCAUGUAACACUGGCCAAGAACGUUCUCCUUUAUAAGAACUUGGAUCAUCAAGCAAUCCAUCAAUAAUAUCCUGAGCAUGCUCAUAAGAGAGCUUGCAAC